UGGGGAAUAUUGGACAAUGGGCGCAAGCCUGAUCCAGCCACGCCGCGUGAGUGAUGAAGGCCUUCGGGUCGUAAAGCUCUGUGGGGAGGGACGAACCGCUGCACGUUCAUAGCGUGCAGCAUGACGGUACCUCCUUAGCAAGCACCGGCUAACUUCGUGCCAGCAGCCGCGGUAAUACGAAGGGUGCAAACGUUGCUCGGAAUUAUUGGGCGUAAAGCGCACGUAGGCGGCUUAGCAAGUCGGAUGUGAAAGCCCUCGGCUCAACCAAGGAAGUGCAUCCGAAACUGCUGAGCUUGAGUACGAAAGAGGAUCGCGGAAUUCCCGGUGUAGAGGUGAAAUUCGUAGAUAUCGGGAGGAACACCAGUGGCGAAGGCGGCGAUCUGGGUCGAUACUGACGCUGAGGUGCGAAAGCGUGGGGAGCAAACAGG
rnacentral:rRNA from 1 species